rnacentral:rRNA from 1 species
UACGUAGGGGGCUAGCGUUGUCCGGAAUCAUUGGGCGUAAAGCGCGCGUAGGCGGCCCGGUAAGUCCGCUGUAAAAGUCAAAGGCUCAACCUUUGAAUGUCAGUGGAUACUGCCGGGCUAGAGUCCGGAAGAGGCGAGUGGAACUCCUGGUGUAGCGGUGGAAUGCGCAGAUAUCAGGAAGAACACCGACGGCGAAGGCAGCUCGCUGGGACGUGACUGACGCUGAGACGCGAAAGCGUGGGGAGCAAACAGG